UACGUAGGGCGCGAGCGUUGUCCGGAUUUAUUGGGCGUAAAGAGCUCGUAGGCGGCUUGUCGCGUCGACUGUGAAAACCCACGGCUUAACUGUGGGCUUGCAGUCGAUACGGGCAGGCUAGAGUUCGGUAGGGGAGACUGGAAUUCCUGGUGUAGCGGUGAAAUGCGCAGAUAUCAGGAGGAACACCGGUGGCGAAGGCGGGUCUCUGGGCCGAUACUGACGCUGAGGAGCGAAAGCGUGGGGAGCGAACAGG
rnacentral:rRNA from 1 species